rnacentral:rRNA from 1 species
CGAGUGCUUCGAGCGUUAUCCGGAAUCAUUGGGCGUAAAGGGUGCGUAGGUGGUUGUGUUAGUCUCGCGUUAAAUCUACCGGCUCAACCGGUAGGCUGCGUGGGAAACGGCACGACUAAGAGGACGGCAGAGGUUUCUGGAACUCAUGGUGUAGCGGUGAAAUGCGUUGAUAUCAUGGGGGAACACCGAAAGCGAAGGCAAGAAACUGGGCCGCUCCUGACACUGAAGCACGAAAGCGUGGUCGCGAAUGGGAUU